rnacentral:ncRNA from 14 species
AAGAACGCAUCCGGGUGUUCAACUCAUGUACUGGGCUCGAGACCUUGGUCGCUCUCGAUAUCUUUCAUCGAUCGAGAGGCGCACUCGGGUGGAUUUGGGCACAGUAGACGAGUUGCUCUGAGAAAUACCGGUGAACUUGAUCUGGAUAAUACCAGCGAAAGGACAUGCUUCUUUGGCAAAC